CCCUUAGAUGUUCUGGGCCGCACGCGCGCUACACUGAUGCAUUCAACGAGCCUAUCCUUGACCGACAGGUCCGGGUAAUCUUUGAAUCUGCAUCGUGACGGGGAUAGAUUAUUGCAAUUAUUAAUCUUCAACGAGGAAUGCCUAGUAGGCGCAAGUCAUCAGCUUGCGUCGAUUACGUCCCUGCCCUUUGUACACACCGCCCGUCGCUCCUACCGAUUGGGUGUGCUGGUGAAAUGUUCGGAUCGGCCGUUUGUCGCGGUUUCCGCGUCAUUUGGCUGAGAAGUUCAUUAAACCCUCCCACCUAGAGGAAGGAGAAGUCGUAACA
rnacentral:rRNA from 1 species